GCUGCUGACAAAAACAUAUACGACGUGUCAAUACUUAGAAACAUUCUCCAUGAAAAUAUCUAAAAUGACAAUUAACUUGAAUAUACUCAGUUGUGGUUUCCCUCAAAGUAAUUUGCAUACUGUUUCCUUCAAAUAAAUGGAUUUACACAAAAAUGUCCCCAGCUUUUAUUUACUAAUCCUGAAGGAAAUUUAUUACCACAUGUAUCACCUCCAAAAGAUUCAAUGGCUUUCUCUGUCGCCUUCUGAAUUCACUGAUAUCUGCUUCAUAUAUACUCUGGCUUGUCUUCACUCAAGCUUAAAGGCCACAUCAUACUCUUGAAAACACACAUUUUCCAGAGGGUUCUUCUGUAUAUGGUCUGAUGUGUAGCCAUCUACUGACCCUUUCAGAGUUUCUAUAAAAGGGAGAACCUUCUUACCUCACAGUGCCAUUGUAAGGAUUAAAACUGCAUGUUCCAGAAGUGCUGGCACACGAGACAGGAUCAUUCUCCUCCUCCACAGUGAACAUUUAUGGACUAACCAACUGUACGCGCAAAGCAGACUGACCGAGAAGAGCUAUACUUGGCAUUCAUGGCAGGUACCAUGUUUCCAGUUUCUCAGUUUUCUCAAGUUUUCUUGACCCAAACUGGUUUUCUAGUUUAAGCGGACCCUUUCUUCAACCAAAAAGAUAAUGUGGGAAGAGCUUACCAAGCCUUCUUAAUUGGAAUCUGUCAAAAGAACCUCUGACCUACCUAAGAACUAUGAGCUCAGAGCAACAAUAACAGGGAAAAAGGAACCUCAGCUACGUAAUCACAGAUUGCAAACUUCUGGUUCAGAAUGUGUGGUAAUUAUGACCGCAUAUUCCUAAAGCUGAAAGUCUUAACGGGAGUAAUGCACACAUAAAAUUAUGCUAGAAAUCAGAACACAAUGCCAGAAAAUAUUACUUAUGAGAUUAUACAGGUUCAAAACAUGAGAUGAUUACAGCUAUAAGAGACACAGGAAAAUCAGUUCUUUCAGGAGCUAUCAGCUAAAAUGAGCUAGGAGCCAGUGGAUUACUUCUUGGAUAACCUCUAAGGAAAAAAAAAUGCUGUUCGGCACUCGAAGGAAAUGAACUAUCAACCCAUGAAAAGGCAUAGAGGAAACUUAAAUGCAUACUACUAAGUGAAAGAAACCAACCUGAAUAGUCUGAAAACAGUAUGAUUUCAACUAUAUGACAUUUUGGAGAAGGCAAACUAUGGAGGCAGUAAAAAGAUCAGCAGCUGCCAGGGCAUUCCACUAGGCUCUGCGAUAUGGAGACGGGCCCCUUUGAACACUGCUCGGUGACCAGCAGCACCAGGUUAAGCUCUGUCAGUGCAGGGAGCUGGAGAUCCGCUGGAGGAGAGAGGGUUUUCGCCUCC